rnacentral:rRNA from 1 species
UGAACGCUGGCGGCAGGCUUACACAUGCUGAAUCGAGCGGGGGAGAUUGCUUCGGUAAUUGACCUAGCGGCGGACGGGUGAGUAAUACUUAGGAAUCUGCCUAUUAAUGGGGGACAACAUCUCGAAAGGGAUGCUAAUACCGCAUACGCCCUACGGGGGAAAGCAGGUGAUCACUUGUGACCUUGCGUUAAUAGAUGAGCCUAAGUCGGAUUAGCUAGUUGGUGGGGUAAAGUGCCUACCAAGGCGACGAUCUGUAGCGGGUCUGAGAGGAUGAUCCGCCACACUGGGACUGAGACACGGCCCAGACUCCUACGGGAGGCAGCAGUGGGGAAUAUUGGACAAUGGGGGGAACCCUGAUCCAGCCAUGCCGCGUGUGUGAAGAAGGCCUUAUGGUUGUAAAAGCACUUUAAGCGAGGAGGAGGCUCCUAUAGAUAAUACCUAUAGAGAGUGGACGUUACUCGCAGAAUAAGCACCGGCUAACUCUGUGCCAGCAGCCGCGGUAAUACAGA